rnacentral:tRNA from 1 species
UGGGAUGUAGUUUAAUUAUUCAUAAAAUAUGACUUUUACACAGUUAAGAUGAGCUUCAGCUCUGUUCUGA